rnacentral:rRNA from 1 species
UACGGGGGGGGCAAGCGUUGUCCGGAUUUACUGGGCGUAAAGGGCUCGUAGGCGGCCAACUAAGUCAGACGUGAAAUCCCUCGGCUUAACCGGGGAACUGCGUCUGAUACUGGAUGGCUUGAGUUCGGGAGAGGGAUGUGGAAUUCCAGGUGUAGCGGUGAAAUGCGUAGAUAUCUGGAGGAACACCGGUGGCGAAGGCGGCAUCCUGGACCGACACUGACGCUGAUGAGCGAAAGCCAGGGGAGCAAACAGG